UCCUUAGUAGCUCAGUGAUAGAGCGGUCGACUGUUAACCGAUUAGUCGUAGGUUCAAAUGCUACUUGGGUAGAU
rnacentral:tRNA from 1 species